rnacentral:rRNA from 1 species
GAUGAACGCUAGCGGCAGGCUUAACACAUGCAAGUCGAGGGGCAGCAUAAUGAAGUAGCAAUACGGAUUUGACGGCGACCGGCGCACGGGUGCGUAACGCGUAUGCAACCUACCCUGUAACAGGGGGAUAACACUGAGAAAUUGGUACUAAUACCCCAUAACAUCACUGAAGGCAUCUUUGGUGGUUGAAAGUUCCGGCGGUUACAGAUGGGCAUGCGUUGUAUUAGCUAGUUGGAGAGGUAACGGCUCACCAAGGCUACGAUACAUAGGGGGACUGAGAGGUUAACCCCCCACAUUGGUACUGAGACACGGACCAAACUCCUACGGGAGGCAGCAGUGAGGAAUAUUGGUCAAUGGUCGGAAGACUGAACCAGCCAAGUAGCGUGAAGGAUGAAGGUUUUAUGGAUUGUAAACUUCUUUUAUACGGGAAUAAAACCUCCCACGUGUGGGAGCUUGUAUGUACCGUAUGAAUAAGCAUCGGCUAACUCCGUG